rnacentral:rRNA from 1 species
GACGAACGCUGGCGGCGUGCUUAACACAUGCCAGUCGAACGGAAAGGCCCUGCUUGCAGGGUACUCGAGUGGCGAACGGGUGAGUAACACGUGGGUGAUCUGCCCUGCACUUCGGGAUAAGCCUGGGAAACUGGGUCUAAUACCGGAUAGGAGCCAUUUUUAGUGUGAUGGUUGGAAAGUUUUUUCGGUGUAGGAUGAGCUCGCGGCCUAUCAGCUUGUUGGUGGGGUAAUGGCCUACCAAGGCGGCGACGGGUAGCCGGCCUGAGAGGGUGGACGGCCACAUUGGGACUGAGAUACGGCCCAGACUCCUACGGGAGGCAGCAGUGGGGAAUAUUGCACAAUGGGCGCAAGCCUGAUGCAGCGACGCCGCGUGGGGGAUGACGGCCUUCGGGUUGUAAGCUCCUUUCGCUAGGGACGAAGCUUUUUGUGACGGUACCUAGAUAAGAAGCACCGGCUAACUACGUG